rfam:Vitis vinifera, whole genome shotgun sequence of line PN40024, unoriented chromosome 9, chr9
GUUCUCAUAGCUUAGUUGGUUGAGCACAAGGCUUCCAACCAUGUGGUCGUGGGUUCGAGCCCCAUUGGUGGCC